AUGGGAGCUCUUCCAGUAACUUCUAUCCAUUUUAUCACUUUGUCAUUGGUCAUUGACUUCAGAAUUUGAAAUCUGUGAAGUGGGGUGCUGGGAACGUCAGUAGCUGAAUAAAGAUUAUCCACAUUUCCCGCAGGAACUGUGACUUACUGUAGCACUAAACAAAUCCUGGUGCUCUGUUGAUGCUACAUAAUAAAUUUAAAUAAGUUGCCCCUAAUACGAAUGUGGCUGAGAAAAAAAAUUGAUAGAAAAUUGAGCCAGUUUUCAUUCCAAGACUGACCAUUCAGGUUCUGUUUUAUUCCUCUGUCUCCCAGGAGGGGUAUGAUUUCAGGAACAAGAGAACCAUUUUCCCUUACAAUUAGCAAAGCAGCAAUUCUUCUCCAACAUUUUCCAAGUUGAUGCUGUGAAGAGAGCACUGUAGUAAAGUCUUGCUGUGCAAUCUUGGGCAAAUCACCUCACUAGGCCUCAGUCCCUCUACUAGAAAAAUAAAAGCACGAGAUGAGAUCUCUAAAUGUCCAUCCAACCCUAAAGCUUUCCACUUCUAAAACUUGCAAUUGAGAAAAAAUGAAAAUUAAAAACAGAAAGCCAAACUGAAGAGCCCAGCCAGCCAGAGUGACGAGCGAUGGUGAGGUGCACAGCUCUAUGGGUUGCCUGUGGUGGAGUGUAUUAUUGUUCCCAAUUACUCAACCCCCUGCCUGGAAGAGGAUUAUACAGUCACGUGCUGCACAACAACAUUUGGGUCAACAACAAACCCCAUACACGACGCCGGUCCCAUAAGAUUAGUACCACACAGCCUAGGUGUGUAGCAAGCUGUAUCAUCUAGCUUUGUGUAAGUGCACUCCAAGAUGUUCACACAACGAUGAAAUUCCCUAACAAUGCAUUCCUUAGAACAUAUCCCCAUCGUUAAGCGACAUAUGACUGUACAUCUCUAUCCACGGCCAUGUGACGCCUUGUGGAGAGAAUAAUAUUUCCCAGUUCCACUGACAAAGGGUUUGGCCAUACAACUUGUUUUGGCCAGUGGAACACAACAGAAAUGAUGUAUGGGACAUCUGAAAAGAAGUUUUAAGGGCCUGAGUGUUUCAAAGCCUUCUUGCUCUUUUCCUUAUGUCCUGAAAACAGGGGUAACUGCAGGUACCAUAGAUCUCAAAAUGAGAUAAUGCAGGGAGCUGAAUCACAGCCAAAACAGAGCUGCAGAUGAUGUGUGAACAAGAAAUAUACUUUUGUUAUUGCAAGCCACAGAAAUUUUGGAGUUAUUUCAUUACCUCAGUCUUACCUAGAGAAAGCUGACUGAUCCACCACCCUCCACUGGGCAUAUGUGAUAAAUACUCAAAGAAUGACAAGGAUGGCUUGGCUAAUGUGUGACCUAAGAAUGAAAGCUCCUGACAGCAGUAACCUUGUAAUUCAGACAGUAUGAUAGACAUCAGAAAUAUACAACUAUUCAAAUCUGUAGCACAAGCUGCCUCCCAUAGGAAUUUGGGGCUGGCAUGACACCACCAUUAUAGUCAUGCCCUCAAAACACCAUACAUCUCAUUGGAGUCCAGUGUGGUGAGAGGGACCCUGAACUUGCCAUCCAGAGGCCCGAGGCAGCUCCCACUUGCUGAAUUCCUUUAGGUUUGCAGGAAACCUAGAUCCUAUCACUGGAGCCAAAUCAUGCGACCUUUGAAAUCUCAUGGUUCUCAAUUCAGAGAGGUCAUCCCCAUAGGCCAGACUGUGCUUAUAUGUUUUUUGUAAUUGUUCACCUAAUGAAAACACAGUAUUUAAACAUUUCUCAAAGGACAAAUAGAUUUUGUAGCUCAGUAUGAGAAACACUGGAUUCAAUGAUCUGUAAGGUUCCUUUCAGCUCUGAAAUAAAUCAGUCUUAAAGCAUUACCUAAUCUGGACAUAAUUUUCCUCACCAUUUCACAGGUGCAUAUCACAUCUAUUAGUGGCACACAUGAACUUGACGCAGCAAAUUAGUGCAGAAAAACAGAUGCAUCUUCCAAGUGAACUGACAGAAUAACUUAGGUAUGAUGAACAUGGUUAUAAGGCAAACCUGCCCCUAGUUAUCAGUCUUUGUUCAGUGAGUAAUGCAGAUGUUACUUUAAGAGAAAAAAAAAAAUCAGAGAACUAAUCAGAUUUACAAUCUGUGAACAUAGUCAAAAUAAAGGGCUCAAAUUUUUUUUUCAUUCUUAUAUGGCCUGAGGGCAAUAGCCAAAAGAAAUUACUAUUAAGUGUGAGUAAUGCAAAAUAGAUUGUGUGAAUUUCCAUCUGAAAUGUGUGAAUUUAAUAUACAACUGCAAAUUAAGAAGUGCCUUUUGAUUCAUAAAGUAGGCCUGGUUCAUAAGUGGAAAACAUUCUAUCCUAUAGACAACUCCAAGAUGGACUAACAGACUGCAUGCGGACCUGGAAAAAUGGAGGGCUUUCAUAGCACCAAGAAGAUAUUGUGACUGCAGCGCUGUGUCAUCAUCCACGGCACAUAAA
ensembl:lncRNA